UACGUAGGCAGCGAGCGUUGUUCGGAGUUACUGGGCGUAAAGGGUGUGUAGGCGGUUGUUUAAGUUUGGUGUGAAAUCUCCCGGCUCAACUGGGAGGGUGCGCCGAAUACUGAAUGACUCGAGUGCGGGAGAGGAGAGUGGAAUUCCUGGUGUAGCGGUGAAAUGCGUAGAUAUCAGGAGGAACACCGGCGGUGUAGACGGCUCUCUGGACCGUAACUGACGCUGAGACACGAAAGCGUGGGUAGCAAACAGG
rnacentral:rRNA from 1 species